UGGCGACCGGCGCACGGGUGAGUAACACGUAUCCAACCUGCCGAUAACUCGGGGAUAGCCCUUCGAAAGAAAGAUUAAUAUCCGAUAGCAUAUCAAGAUCGCAUGAUCUUGAUAUUAAAGAAUUUCGGUUAUCGAUGGGGAUGCGUUCCAUUAGUUAGUUGGCGGGGUAACGGCCCACCAAGACGACGAUGGAUAGGGGUUCUGAGAGGAAGGUCCCCCACAUUGGAACUGAGACACGGUCCAAACCCCUACGGGAGGCAGCAG
rnacentral:rRNA from 1 species